rnacentral:rRNA from 1 species
AGUUGAUACUGGCGUCCUUGAGUGCGGUUGAAGGUGUGUGGAAUUCGUGGUGUAGCGGUGAAAUGCUUAGAUAUCACGAAGAACUCCGAUUGCGAAGGCAGCACACUAAAGCCGCUACUGACGUUGAGGCUCGAAAGUGUGGGUAUCAAACAGGAUUAGAUACCCUGGUAGUCCACACGGUAAACGAUGAAUACUCGCUGUUGGCGAUAUACAGUCAGCGCCCAAGCGAAAGCAUUAAGUAUUCCACCUGGGGAGUACGCCGGCAACGGUGAAACUCAAAGGAAUUGACGGGGGCCCGCACAAGCGGAGGAACAUGUGGUUUAAUUCGAUGAUACGCGAGGAACCUUACCCGGGCUUAAAUUGCACUGGACAGGCCAAGAGAUUGGCUCUUCUUCGGACCAGUGUGAAGGUGCUGCACGGUUGUCGUCAGCUCGUGCCGUGAGGUGUCGGCUUAAGUGCCAUAACGAGCGCAACCCUUGCCAUUAGUUACUAACAGGUUAUGCUGAGGACUCUAGUGGGACUGCCAUCGUAAGAUGUGAGGAAGGUGGGGAUGACGUCAAAUCAGCACGGCCCUUACGUCCGGGGCUACACACGUGUUACAAUGGGAGGUACAGAAGGCCGGUACCCGGCGACGGGAUGCCAAUCCCCAAAACCUCUCUCAGUUCGGAUUGGAGUCUGCAACCCGACUCCAUGAAGCUGGAUUCGCUAGUAAUCGCGCAUCAGCCACGGCGCGCAGAAAACGUUCCCGGCCAUGAUUACCC